AAUAACUCAAUUCUUGAGUUUCCGUGUCUAACGUUUGACCGUCCGUCUUAUUUAAAAAAAUAAAAAAAUUAAAAAGAUAAAUCACACAUAAAGUAUUAUUCAUGUUUUAUCAUCUAACAACAAUGAAAAUACUAAUCAUGAAAAAAAUUCAUAUAAGACGGACAGUCAAACGUAGGACACGAAAACCCAGGAAUUGAGUCUUU
rnacentral:pre_miRNA from 1 species